rnacentral:tRNA from 1 species
GCCUGGGUGGCUCAGUCAGUUGAGCGUCUGAUUUUUGAUUUCAGCUCAGAUCAUGAUCUUGGGGUUGUGGGAUUGAGCCCCGCAUCAGGCU